GAGUGGUUGUGCAUGACGAGGCAGCGACAGAGAGAGCUGGCCAGACUGUGAGGGAUGGAGCGAAUUUAGCUUGUGCCUUGUGUGGCUCACUCGUGCAGCUCCCUCACAGUCUGCAUGGCUCUCCGUGUCUCUUCCUCUUUUCGGCCACGUUGG
rnacentral:pre_miRNA from 1 species